CGAUCUGUAACUGGUCUGAGAGGAUGAUCAGUCACACCGGAACUGAGACACGGUCCGGACUCCUACGGGAGGCAGCAGUGGGGAAUAUUGGACAAUGGGGGCAACCCUGAUCCAGCCAUGCCGCGUGUGUGAAGAAGGCCUUUUGGUUGUAAAGCACUUUAAGCAGGGAGGAGAGGCUAAUGGUUAAUACCCAUUAGAUUAGACGUUACCUGCAGAAUAAGCACCGGCUAACUCUGUGCCAGCAGCCGCGGUAAUACAGAGGGUGCGAGCGUUAAUCGGAAUUACUGGGCGUAAAGCGAGUGUAGGUGGCUCAUUAAGUCACAUGUGAAAUCCCCGGGCUUAACCUGGGAACUGCAUGUGAUACUGGUGGUGCUAGAAUAUGUGAGAGGGAAGUAGAAUUCCAGGUGUAGCGGUGAAAUGCGUAGAGAUCUGGAGGAAUACCGAUGGCGAAGGCAGCCUCCUGGCAUAAUAUUGACACUGAGAUUCGAAAGCGUGGA
rnacentral:rRNA from 1 species